rnacentral:rRNA from 1 species
UACGAAGGGGACUAGCGUUGUUCGGAAUCACUGGGCGUAAAGCGCACGUAGGCGGAUUUGUAAGUCAGGGGUGAAAUCCCGGGGCUCAACCUCGGAACUGCCUUUGAUACUGGCAACCUUGAGUCCGGGAGAGGUGAGUGGAACUGCGAGUGUAGAGGUGAAAUUCGUAGAUAUUCGCAAGAACACCAGUGGCGAAGGCGGCUCACUGGCCCGGUACUGACGCUGAGGUGCGAAAGCGUGGGGAGCAAACAGGG